UACGUAGGGGGCUAGCGUUGUCCGGAAUCAUUGGGCGUAAAGCGCGUGUAGGCGGUCCGGUAAGUCCGCUGUGAAAGUCGGGGGCUCAACCCUCGAAUGCCGGUGGAUACUGUCGGGCUAGAGUGCGGAAGAGGCGAGUGGAAUUCCUGGUGUAGCGGUGAAAUGCGCAGAUAUCAGGAGGAACACCAAUUGGCGAAGGCAGCUCGCUGGGACGUGACUGACGCUGAGGAGCGAAAGCCGUGGGGAGCAAACAGG
rnacentral:rRNA from 1 species